GAUGAACGCUAGCGGGAGGCCUAACACAUGCAAGCCGAGCGGUAUUGCUUCUUCGGAAAUGAGAGAGCGGCGUACGGGUGCGGAACACGUGUGCAACCUGCCUUUAUCUGGGGGAUAGCCUUUCGAAAGGAAGAUUAAUACUCCAUAACAUAUUGAUUGGCAUCAAUUAAUAUUGAAAGCUCCGGCGGAUAGAGAUGGGCACGCGCAAGAUUAGCUAGUUGGUGAGGUAACGGCUCACCAAGGCGAUGAUCUUUAGGGGGCCUGAGAGGGUGAUCCCCCACACUGGUACUGAGACACGGACCAGACUCCUACGGGAGGCAGCAGUGAGGAAUAUUGGUCAAUGGGUGCAAGCCUGAACCAGCCAUCCCGCGUGAAGGACGACUGCCCUAUGGGUUGUAAACUUCUUUUGUAUAGGGAUAAACCUACCCUCGUGAGGGUAGCUGAAGGUACUAUACGAAUAAGCACCGGCUAACUCCGUGCCAGCAGCCGCGGUAAUACGGAGGGUGCAAGCGUUAUCCGGAUUUAUUGGGUUUAAAGGGUCCGUAGGCGGACUUAUAAGUCAGUGGUGAAAGCCUGUCGCUUAACGAUAGAACUGCCAUUGAUACUGUAAGUCUUGAGUAUAUUUGAGGUAGCUGGAAUAAGUAGUGUAGCGGUGAAAUGCAUAGAUAUUACUUAGAACACCAAUUGCGAAGGCAGGUUACCAAGAUAUAACUGACGCUGAGGGACGAAAGCGUGGGGAGCGAACAGGAUUAGAUACCCUGGUAGUCCACGCCGUAAACGAUGCUAACUCGUUUUUGGGCUUUAGGGUUCAGAGACCAAGCGAAAGUGAUAAGUUAGCCACCUGGGGAGUACGCUCGCAAGAGUGAAACUCUAAGGAAUUGACGGGGGCCCGCACAAGCGGUGGAUUAUGUGGUUUAAUUCGAUGAUACGCGAGGAACCUUACCAAGACUUAAAUGGGAAUUGACAGCUUUAGAAAUAGAGCUUUCUUCGGACAAUUUUCAAGGUGCUGCAUGGUUGUCGUCAGCUCGUGCCGUGAGGUGUUAGGUUAAGUCCUGCAACGAGCGCAACCCCUGUCACUAGUUGCCAUCAUUCAGUUGGGGACUCUAGUGAGACUGCCUACGCAAGUAGAGAGGAAGGUGGGGAUGACGUCAAAUCAUCACGGCCCUUACGUCUUGGGCCACACACGUAAUACAAUGGCCGGUACAGAGGGCAGCUACACAGCGAUGUGAUGCAAAUCUCGAAAGCCGGUCUCAGUUCGGAUUGGAGUCUGCAACUCGACUCUAUGAAGCUGGAAUCGCUAGUAAUCGCGCAUCAGCCAUGGCGCGGUGAAUACGUUCCCGGGCCU
rnacentral:rRNA from 1 species